CUGACUUUAAGUAAUCCAGAGGGAAAUAUAGACCAAUAGGCAGAAAUAUACACUUCUAAAUUACCAAGAUAAAAAUAAGUGCUGUUGAGCAGAGUACAGAGAAACUAGCUCAAGCAUAAAACAGCUAUUGAAGACUUCAUCAAGAAACAACAUUCAAGCUGAGUUGUGAAAAAGCAGUCAUUAGAAAACUGGAAGUAUCUUAGGGACAGCAUGUGCAAAAGCCAUGGCAAUAUGAAAAAGUACAUUGUUUUCACACAAAAGUGAUUAACUUCAUGUGUCUGGGGUUGAAGUUCCACAGAUUAUAAGCUGCAAGAAACAGCCUGAAAACAUGCAGCCAGUUAUAAAAAGCUUUUAUAAUCUAGGUGCCUAAUAUAUAGGAUAUAGGAUAAAUAAAAGCAAAUAUUCUCUACAGAAUACUAAGCAGCAAUUAGGAGUAGCAAUCAAGAUGGAAUAGUGUUCAAGGCAAAAUAAACAAUGCCUACAGCAUAAUACCAGCAAUACAAAUUUAAAAUAUGUACACACCCAUUGUGUGCACACAAAAUAAAUCUACAUGUUUUACAAGAACACAAACAAAAAGAUUCAGGUUAAAACAUUAGAGUACUUACUUAUGGAGUGGGAAAAAUAGGGGAUGGGGUGGGAAACGAGAACAAGGGAUUUUUUUCAGCAAUUAUGCACCUGUUUGAUGUCCAAGAAAGUCUAUAUAUUUUCCUAUAAGUAGCAGAGGUUUCAAGAUCUGAGAAUGGCAAAAUCUAAUGUGGUUUUUAAAAAGAAGAAGGCUACAGCCCUUUAGUUAUGUUUUCUUCUGGAGUGAAGAGAAUGGGUUUCUUGCCCCUUUUCUACAUAUGCUGAGUAGAUCCCUAUAAUUCUGUAGGAAAAGGUGAGGUUUCAAGCAAAAGUACCAAUAAGUAAGAUGAAUGUAACAUUUCAGAAAUUGAUGGAAGCAAAUAUGAGGUCUGAAGGGGAGUAAAUAGUUUCAAAUAAAAACAGCAUCUUAAAGCCCAGAUCUGAUCAUCUGCCAAGAAUAUUACAGAAAAUAAUCCUACUCUAUGGUAGAUGCUGGACUAAAAUACAGAGGGUUUCACCAAACUGAAGGUCUUUUCCAUUUUCUUAUAAUUGUGCCAAAGGGAACACAAUGAGAAAUUCAAACAAAGGUCCACUAAGUAUGUCUCAGUAGCUCAGAGCAUGGAUCUCUGUAUAAAUUUACACCAGUCCUAUCACUUGAGAGAUGAAUCUUGCAUCACACCAAGAACUACUGCAUCUGGUACAAGCAGACUUUCUAUAGAACUGCAACUGAACACUACAGGCAAUGAGCCAACAUUUUUAAAUUUCAUCAAGUUCUAGUGCCAGGUGACAACUGUUUGCAGUGACAUGAUUUAUGCAACACAUUUCAUCUAGUUAUCUUAGAAUCAAAGGAAUUUUACCAGAGUUCUCAUUCAGAUAAACAGGAAUGAUUUCUACCUCAAUUGCAUCUGUGAAAAGUAGAAUACACACUUGUUAAGUUUAAGGACAAGAUACUAUUAAUUAAAUUCUCCUAAUAAAAGUAGUGCUUACUGGACACUUCUUCAGUUGUGAAGACAUUAUUUUUCAUUGGGAGGGACACUGCUAACUAAAAUGCAACUGGAGUCAAAAUUAAUUUCAAAAGUAGUAAAGGAUAAGUUGCAAAUAAUAUACAACAUGGUUAACAAUACUUAUUUAUGUAUAAUACUUGCAUUUCCACAGAUACACUCAUGAGGUCAGA
rnacentral:lncRNA from 1 species